UAACAACAUAAUUUCCACCCAAUUUCCCUCACAAAAGUCAUAUAAGAAUCCCCUCCCCUUUUACAAAUUGCCCUAAUAUAUGUUUAAAUGGAUUAUUAUUACAGAUCAUAAAUGAAUUACAUAAUGAAUAAAAGUUAUACUACAAGUAGCCUGAAAUAGGCCCAAAGUGAACCUGGAAAUACUAGGCCUUCAAACAGUUCCAGAUGCCGUACUCUCAUGAUGUCCAAUAAGGGUAUCCUGGUGCGUAAAAGUUCCCAAGGGCCUCAGAGAUCCUGGAAAUAGAAGAGUAGUUAUGUGUAAUGACGUAGGGCCAGCCCCAGUGCUUUGGAGGAAUCUCAUGGAUUCCUAGGAAGUACACACACUGGAAGGGCAGAACUUAAGUAAUUUAGGAGUUGUAGUGAGAAUGCUUGACAUAGUUGAUUUUUUUGAAAAAAUUAUAGAGGUAAAAUCUUUAGGAGUGAAAAUACUUUAGGAGUAGUAAUAGGAGAAACAUAUUAGGAGUGAAAAACAUGUUGAAAACCUUUUGAGGGAAAUGGAGCUUCAACAAACAACAUCACAGUCACAAAAGAAUCACAUUGCCCAGUUUCAAUUUCACUUUGUCAAUCAGUUCUAGAUGUGCAAACAGUUGCACAAAAGGGAGCAAGGGUUCGGAACACAAGAUAUUUGAAAUAUAAGCGCAUAAGAAGAAGGGUGAAGGCAGUCAUGUUAGUUAAUAGAGACACAUAGCAGACAAGAAUACUGAUUUAAGGUCUAAAUUACAAUCAUACUUAGUGAUAAGCAUGCUAUUUAAGAACACACAAGACUUAAGCACUACAAUAAAUAUGUUGGCUAAACACAGUGAGACAUAAGUCUGGAUACAGAGGCAAUCAUGCUGAAAAUACAGGAAGAACCACAAAGAAUCAAUCACACAAAGUAGCCAUACUAGUUGGGGUUACAGGACAAGUGAGACAUAAAAGUAAAUAGGUUUUUUAAGACCAUAUUGAAUACUUAAGCAGAAUAGACAUGCUGAAUAAAAUACUAAACAAGAGAGGGUGAAAUUUAAGCAUACUGCUCACACCAGCAAAUGGGAAAGAAUAAUUAAGUGCCUAAGCAAUUAAACUAGUGUAGAAAGAGACAUGGAUUCAACGAGGAGCAUAUAGAUUUGAAUUUCAUAAUGACAUUGAAAUAGGAACAUACCAGUUAAGGAAGCAAAAGCAGAAAGUAAAAUAAGAAGGAUUCCACAGUCUCGCCUUGGUUUUCAAGGCUGGACAACCAAUGAGCACAAGUAGCAGAAAGAGAGAUGAGAGAAAGUUUGUGUGUUUUUUUUGGGAACUACUGUUAGUCCCAGGGAGUAGAGCAAGAGUGUAUAUAUAGAACUCGGGGAGUAAGAAAAAUAAGGCAAUGAGAAUCAGAAGUCAUUCAAUUAAAAAAAUCAAAUAAUCACAAAAUCAAUUUCCAUAAGGGAGUGUCACGACCCCAGUUCGCCCUCUAUGAACUGUCGUGACGACACCUAUUCCCUACGACUAGGUAAGCCUAACAAGUUCAGAAAUACAAUCAAGACUUUGUGAAAUUAUAACUUAAAACCAAAUUUAGUAAAAUGAAAGCAGAAUAUAAAAUGUCAAUCGACUUAUACAGCACAAUAACUCAAACUUCUACAAUACUAUCCCAAAACUCAAAAACUCACGGGAACACAAGCUGAAAGAAAAAUAACUCCAGAAUGUCUAAAAUAACAGUAAGAAGGAAGGCUAAUUGCUAAAAUAUAGAAUAAGAUAGAGACUCCUUGGUCUGCGGAUGCGGCAGAUGUACCUUGAAAUCUCUUCUAGAUAUCUCCGCCUAAAGGGUGAUACGCCUGGGCAGUGGUACGUGGAUCUGCACAUGAACAACAUGUGCAGAAGGGGCAUGAGUACACCACAGCGGUACUCAGCAAGUGGCAAAUUUAACCUCGGUCAGGUAGUGACGAGGAAGGUUAGGACCCUAUUGAGGUUAAAAAUAAUGAUAAGUUCCAAUAGUAUGAAAUAAACAAUAUAAAUGAGAACAACAAUGGAAUAAGAUAGGUUUUACCAGGCAACGACAAUUACACAACAUAACAGAGUAACUCGAAAAAUCAUAGCAGCUCAAUACCAAUACGAGGAUCUCCCAUGAUAUCGUCCUGUAUUCCUUUUCAUCAUUUGUCCAGCGGAUUUCCCGAGAUACCAUUCCAUAGUCCAUAAUAUGCAUAUAUCUAAAGGAUCUCCGGGGAUACCAUCCCAUAGUCCAACUAUUAAUGCGCAGGGAUCUAUUGAGAAUCUAACCCGCAGUUCCAAAUCUAUACCCAGUACUGGGGGAAUCUACCGGGUCAUUCUCGUAGUUCCAUAUAGUUGUGCAGGGAGAUCUAUCGGGAAUCGAACCCACAUUCCCAAAGUAAAUAUGCAGGGGCAUCUAUCGGGAAUCGAACCCGUAGUCCCAAAGUAAAUAUACAGGGAGAUCUAUCGGGAAUCGAACCCGCAACCCCACUUUUCCAAUUGAAUUAAGAGGACUUUCCGAUACAGCAAUCAUAAACCACUUCGCCUCGGUUCUAUGUAAACCCCCUUCACCCCCACCCCCUAAAGUAGUAAAGUAAAGAAGGGCUAUUUGGGGUCUAAUUUGCUUUCUAUCUGACAGGAGAUUACUGCCUUAGCCCUGUCCUAUCAUCUGUAUAAUGGAGUUCGUCAUUUAUUGACGGAUUUUUCGGGAUUUUUCUUUCUUAGAAUUGGAAGAAAAACAGUAACAGGAUGCGACAGAGACGGUUCAGCGGCCCAUCGAAAGAUUGUCCGAUCUGCGAAAAUGAAGACCCAGCCUUCGAGUAGUCCCACAAGCUCUUGGUGCCUGCUUUAGCUUGCCGGAUGCUACUUUUUCUACAUCUAUAUGAUCUACUAAAGUAGAUCGGUAUUGACCAUAUAAUAAAAGCAGAUCUUGUGCUGGACGUAGCACAAUUAUGCUAAAACUUGCAAAAAAGCUCUGCAUCUGUCUGUUCGGAAAAGAAGGAGUGGCUCCCAUCCCUAAAUAAAGAACCAGUCAGUUUUUUCCUUCCUUCUAACAUAAAAUAUACUGAGAGAGGAAUCAGCAUAAUAAAGUUGUUUUUCACAGGAUUUUUCGUUACUCAUGUCAGCAUUCUGACUUCUGAUAUCUCUAGGUCUUGUCACGAUAGAAAGAUUUGCAUGCAACAGAGAUCCCAAUUCCGUGUAUCCAGUUAAGCAAGCCCUGCCCGCCAGCUUCCACCCAGACAAAAAGGCGAGCGCCUCGCUUCCUUACUCGCUUACUACAGCUGCUUAUUUCCUCUUAUCGACAAGCAAGGAGUUCUCUCACCAAAUAGCAGCUGCACCGAUGAAACAACGGAGUUCUUUCGCAGAGACAAGGGAAAACAAUCAUUCAAUGAGGUAUGGUACCACACAAGAAAGACAAGUUGCAGCUGAUCGUAGACCAAUGAACAAGUGUAUCUAUUUAUUUGCGACAUAAGUCUCAGCUUACAACCGAUUAGCGACUAUUCCAUCCUAACCACUUUUCCUUAAACGGGAAAGUUCCUCCAACAGAGGAAAGCAGGGAAUACUGUGAUAUCCGACUUUCGGCGGGGAAACCGUAGACUGAACUGAAACCUACACUCUUUCUUGUGUGUAAUGAGCGGCUACUAGUUAGAAUUGAUUAUUUUCGGUGUUUAACACCAACUCCUUUUAUAAGCUCUUCUUAAACCAUUUCCCUUAGAGCGAGUUCCAUUCUUUUAGCCCUGAAUUUCUUUCCUUCUGCCUCCCAAUCUAAAGAAGAAGCUUUCCUCUCCGACAUUGACAUUCCCCUCGAUCAGAACCAUUUUAGUCUCGUACCAAAGCUCUUAUCCCUGCCGAUUUAGUACCAUCGGCAAGCAUCUUCUCUCUCUUCUGAUAUGAGAUGGGGAGGAUCCGCAACACUUCGAUAGGCGAGAGGUGUAAGCCCCGCGAGGUGUGAAGCGAUCUCGUACUAUCCGAAACGACUUUCACUUUCCAUAACAAAAAUGAAAGAAAGUAAACCUAUUCCUGAAAUUGCGGUCAGUCUCACUACCUCUUUAGUUGUCUCCCCUACUUGCUCAUUCUCAAAUUGGCCCAAAAAUCUGAUGGGGGUCAAGACGAUGUCGGGCGCCGGCGGCUGACUCAAGUGCCCCCCGAACCGCGCGAAAUGGUAGACUUUUCUUUUCAUUAUUGAAAUCUGCCAUUCAAUCGCAGUGCAGUGCUCUCAAAAAACUCAAUCCUCUAAGGCUGAAACGAAUAGAUCAGGAAUGCUUGAUCUUGUAAAUUCACUUGCAGCCAAUGACUUCUUUCCCUGCAGGCAAUGAGACUAGUUCUUAUUAUUUUUUUUCCUAGGCAAUUUUAGAUCUUAUUCCGGUUUGCAUGCAGAAAGACCAGCUUUUGACAAUAAAUCCCAUGAAUACUUGCACUGGGUUCCAAAACUCUUUGCGACCUCAUCACUUUAAUCGACGAGAAAGACGGGAGCACGAACGAGGAAGCUUAUGCUUUUUUUCAUCCUCACUACCCGGUUUAUAGUAGAAUCUUGAGAAUAUGAAGUUCUCGCAAUCUUCUUUUUGGUACGUUGUUAUGAGCAGCUCUGGUGCUCGAUCUUGGGUCUCAUCAAGCUACUUUGUAGGGUAGGGGACCAGACUGGUGACUGGUGCGGUAGAUGUCUGUAGGGUAUGUGACCUGAUCGUGACUUGAAAAAAGAAAGAAAAGAAGGAACUUGGAGUUGAAUGAAAAAAAUGAUGUUUCCAACUUCUGGUCUUUGACAUAAAGAAAUAAGUAAUAACGAAGGGGACAUUUUCAAGUUAUCUCCUAGCUAGGAAGGUGUUCCUUGUUAGGACGGGUUCAAACUAGACUGAAGGGAGGAGGAAAAAAAGAGGAAGCUCCACGUACGGUUUUGAAGCCGAGCCUUUCUAACAAUGGGGCCUAGGGACCGAUAUGAUGAUUGGUUUAGGUAGUAAAUAUGCGGGGGACCUAUCGGGAAUCGUACCCGCAGUCCCAAAGUAAAUAUGCAGGGGGAUCUAUCGGAAUCGAACUCGCAUUCCCGAAGUAAAUAUGUAGGGGGUGUAUCAGGAAUCGAAACCGCAGUCCAAAAGUAAAUGAACAAGGGGAAGCUACCAAAAUUCCACAUUCGUAGUCCUAAUGUAAAUACACAACACUGUCACACCUCCUUUUUUACACUACACCCCGUGAAAGGCGUAGAUAAAUGAGUUUUUUUCAAUUAAAGGACAAUCAAAACGUGAUUUAUUUAUUUAAUAAUUUCAGAGUCACCACUUAGGAUAAUUAUGGUGUCCCAAGUCACCGGUUUAAAAUCCCGAAUCGAGGAAGGUUUGACUCUGUAAUACAGCCUGCGAGCCAGAAAUUCUUGAGUAAGGAAUUAUGUUAACCCGGGGGAAAGUGUUAGGCCCCCUCAGAUUCCGUGGUUCUAGCAUGGUCGCUUAAGCAAUCAUAAUUAGCUUAUUACCUGAUUUUAAUACAAGUUUCAACCUAUAGUGCAUAUUUAGAUUAUUUACCGCUUUAAAUUAGUUUUUAAGGAAUUUUGUAAUGUUAUUAAAAUACGUCUCGAACCACGUCACAUAAAUGCACCCGUGAUUUUUGACAUAUUUUAACACUGUUGAGAUUUGGAUUUAGAUCACAUAAAUGUGCACCCGAGUUUAAGAAAGUAGAUUUAUUAAAAUGCACGCCUAAAGCGACUAACGUAUUGAUAACUUUGCGGGGAGGGGGGGAUGAAAAUUUGCUAAAUGGCACAUCCCGAAUUCUAAGUAUUUUAAAAUUUAUUAAAUAAAGGCCACACAUUUGAGAUUUUAUUUGGUACAACGCACCUCAAUUCCAUUUUAAAAGGGUAUUCAAAAUAAAUCUGGCUCACCUCCGAUCUAAUUGUCUAAAAAUUAUUUAAAUCUAUAUUUUCCAAACCAAAAGUUUGCAAGCUGAACACUACUGAGCGUUUUCCCCUAUCAAGUAGGACCGCUACUUUGUGUUGACUAACUUCAAGAACAAAAUAUUCAGCACAUAUCCAUUUCCACGGGAAUCACUACCACAGAGCUUGCUCUUUAACUGAAAAAAAACUCCAAUUACUAUGUCUUGAUUUAUCCCAUAAAAAAAAACUCAGAAUAUUUGAAUAAUCAUUUAAAGCAACAAACAGAUUGAAAUGGGAGAAUGCAGUCCUUAAGAACCAUAUAUUUGAACCAUAGAAAUGCAGACACAACCCACUCCACAAAGCAGUAAGGCUUAAAGUCAAUUCCAACAUCCAUGAAAUUAAAUAGUCCAAAAUCUAUGAAGUUAAAUAAUAAAUAACAUGCUUAAGCAUUCACUGUUGCCAAACUCCAAAAUGCAAUUAAAUUUCAACAAAGAAUUCACGAAAAAUCAAUCCAAAAACACUUAACAAAGUCACGUAAUACACACGGAUCAAAAUUCACUAACAAACAAAUACGCAAAAGACGACUAAGAAAACUUGCGCUAAAAGAAAAAUUGGAAUGAACCUUUAUUAGACUCAGCAAUAAGCUUCUUCGACAUAGCAAGUGUGUAGCUCCAUCAUCAUCAAAAUACAAGGAAAAAUAGCGACUACACCCGGAUGAAAAUUUGAACGAGUCCCGCGGCAGGAGAACCCGAACGGUACCCUCGACAAUGAGAAUCGCAACUGAUAUAUCCCUCUAACGUCCCAAAAACCUCGACCUUUGGAGGUGAUUCAAAGUUGCUCUCAUGGCUGAUUUUCAGCUGAAGUCUGAUGAAGGAAAAGCUACUGGUUUAAGGAGAUUUCGUGGCUGAUUUUCGCUAUAUUAUAGCUGGAAAACAAAGCUGAUUUUGAAUGAUUUUUGGAGGCUGGUUCAAGGACUGUUUGAAGCUAUUUUGCAGCUUUGUUUUGGUGGUGUUUAAUACAAGUUUCAACCUAGGGGUGACCAGUACCGUAACCUUUAACUUAUGGCCACACUUUUUACAUGUUGCUAUAGAAUCCACGCUUCAAAAGUGUGUCUGAUGUACUAAAAAAGCUACACUUUAUAUUUCGUAUAUAGCUACACUUUUAUGACAUAGAACUACAAUUUUGAAGUGUGGUCUUUGUUGAUUUAUAGACCACACUUUUAGAGCGUGGCUUCUAAAGAAACU
rnacentral:lncRNA from 1 species